ACGAACGCUGGCGGCGUGCUUAACACAUGCAAGUCGAACGGAAAGGCCCUGCUUGCAGGGUACUCGAGUGGCGAACGGGUGAGUAACACGUGGGUGAUCUGCCCUGCACUUCGGGAUAAGCCUGGGAAACUGGGUCUAAUACCGGAUAGGAGCCAUUUUUAGUGUGAUGGUUGGAAAGUUUUUUCGGUGUAGGAUGAGCUCGCGGCCUAUCAGCUUGUUGGUGGGGUAAUGGCCUACCAAGGCGGCGACAGGUAGCCGGCCUGAGAGGGUGGACGGCCACAUUGGGACUGAGAUACGGCCCAGACUCCUACGGGAGGCAGCAGUGGGGAAUAUUGCACAAUGGGCGCAAGCCUGAUGCAGCGACGCCGCGUGGGGGAUGACGGCCUUCGGGUUGUAAACUCCUUUCGCUAGGGACGAAGCUUUUUGUGACGGUACCUAGAUAAGAAGCACCGGCUAACUACGUG
rnacentral:rRNA from 1 species